ACACCAGAAAUUGUAAAUUCUCAAUGAUUUUUCCCCCUUUAAAGCAGGUCUUACACCUAUGACAGUUACUACAGCAGGAGUCGGAGCAGGAGCAAGAGGAGCGACAGCUACCGGAGAUCUCGGAGCUAUGACCGGAGAUCCAGGUCCUACGGCUCGGACAGCGACAGCGAUCGCAGCUACUCCAACAACAGGAGCCCCAGUGAGAGCAGCAGAUACAGCUGAGAACGUCCCUUUGAGGAUGGAAACUAUUCCAGAAGUUUUUCAGUGUUAUAUAAAAAAAACUGUUUUGACAGUGUCACAAGUGAAGGUUGUUUGCUGAAUUAGCUGAAACUUUCUCGUUUAACAGUGAACUCAAAUCUCUGCUUACAGAGAGAAGGACUAAGCUCGACAGCUGAUGUUAUUUUUUAUUUUUUUUAAUGUCAAAUGCAACUUUUACAAAAUAAUAAUAAUAAAAAAACCCAGUUUGAUUUCCUUGAAUCAGCUUUUCCAAGCCAUGAAUGACACUUAGGUGAAUUGCUGCCACCACUUUUUGAGUGCAGCAGUCAGGACUGUCUUCAAGUCUGUUUAUAAACACCUUAGGAAAUAUGUGCUAGCAACUAUUAAACUGUGAAGUCAAUUUCUUAUAAACGCUGCCAUUUCUAGUUGAUGAAAAUGCUUUUUUUAUUGCUGGAAGCUGUUUCCAUUGCUGGAAGCUGUCUUGAUUGUUGAUUAUUGCAUUCUACACAGGAUAUAGGUGAGGAAAACAAAGCCUGCCACUCUGUCUUAAUCCCUCCUGAGCUGUGAUGUUCUAGAAUUCUGCUGGAAAAGGUGAGAUGAUGCACAGUGGGAAUUGUCAAAGUGACAAGCAGUGAGCAGAAGUGUGAUGAAUGAGUUUGGAGCUUAAUAUCCAACUUGUCUCAACUUUUUAUGUUUAAAACAGGAAUUUUGUGACGAACAGCAAUGUCCUUCAGAGACUAAAAAAGCGUUUCUAAACACUUCCUGACUUUCAUUUCAGUUCCUAUUACAGUGCUUGGCAUCCUCCAACACAUUUUGAACGUUGUAAAACAUGAGUGUAUCAUGAGUUUGUCUAAAGCACUUUUUGAAAAACUGACAUGAUCAUUUUUUGAGAAAACCAACCAUAAACGUUCCUUUAUAAAACCUUUGUAGCUGUAUCCCAUUCACUGUAGGGAGUAUCAGAUACUGAUAUUGCAGAUAUUGAACUUUAUCUUGUUGAAGUAGGACUAAAAAAAUAUUGGGAUGCCUCAUAAAAAGCAUGGAUAAUACUUGCAAAGUAAAAUUUAAUACCAAAACCAACUCUAUGUUACAGGUAAAUGGUUUGCAAAAAAAAAAUAAAUAGAUUCAAGCUGAAGACCAUUGAGUAAUUUUUGCAAUUCUGAUUGAGUUGAUUAAAAAUAAUUUGUGAAGUUGUUCCUUUUUUUUGGGGGGGGGGUUGUUUUAGAAAGUUGUGUACUGAGAACCAGAAUUUUUAAUGGCAAAAUGUAACCUGAAACUUGAGGUCUGUGACCAAACAGACGAAUGUGGUUUGAUUAGAGCUAACAAGCACUGUUGUACCAUAACAGUUCCCAUUACUGACUCUCUGUAAUACCUGGACAUGCUUUCAUUUUCUCAUUUUCAAAUAUUGGAAAUUACUUUUCUCAAUCUCAUCAGGACCCAGUAGCUUUGAAUGAAAAGUGGUAAUUUCUCGCUUAGGCAUCAAUUCUCUUUGAUUGAAUUAAGCUCUCCCGAAUUAGAUGAUUUUUUUGGUACACUGGUGAAACAUGAAAAGCGAGUUCAAAGGGAGGUUUGUAGAUGGUGCUGAUUCCUUCCAUUUCUGUCCACCCACAGCAUGUUCCUGAAACUGAAUUGGCCAUGGAGGUUUUUCACUUUUGUAGAAAUACCCAAAACUCUGCUCAUAGAGUUUAGUGACAAAGUGUGUGCACACAACCUUUCCACCCUUUUGUAAACUUCUUAUGCUUUUUAGUAUUUAAUACAUUUAGUUCUCAAAUCAGAAUAUAUUUACAGACAUGUAUCUAACAGAAGCAGCCCAUUUCAGAGUUCUGAACUAAUAUUUCAGUGACAUUUGUUGUAGUUCUAUCAUUUUCAGUAAAAAUAACUUGGUUUUUUCCCUUACUAAGAAAAUAGAACUAGAAGGUUCAUGGUGUAACAAAAUAUUCAAAUAUAACCAUUAGUAUUCAAUACCUAUUAGUGAAAAUUUUGCUCCAGAAUCAGAUUUUUGUCAUAUUUCAGAUCUGAUUUGACUUUUUAAGGCCAGGAAAAGGUAAUAGAAAUAAGGUCAAUUAACUGUAGUUAUCAAGCAUUACUGCACUGUCAUUAAAGUCUUUCAUAUCUUUAGUCAAAGCUUUAUAAAGAUAUUCCAUCAGGUAGAGAACGGUUGGGGAGGGAUUGAGGGAAGAGUUGGGGGUAUUUUUACUUGGUGAAGACUGUUAAAUUGUGCUUCAGAUAGAAAAUGUCCCCCUGAGCUGGUUUUCUAAUGCUG
rnacentral:lncRNA from 1 species